CACGCACUCUUCCCCCACACCUGCACUGGUGCACCCUUCCCGGAGGCUGAGAAGACGGAGCGGUGUGUUUCUGGAGGCCCACCUGCUCUUCCCUCCUCUACACAAUGCAGACAGCCUGGCAACUAGAUACUGAUUUGGGGAAACCAGAAAACGGUCCUCGAAAAAUUAACAGUGUGGCUAUGAGGGAACUGAAGCCUGAGAAAAUUCUAUUAUUGCCCAGGAGGUGCUCACUGGUUUGACCUAAAGAAAGAUAAGACUUGUAGAGAAUAUGACAAUUCUUAACACAUGACUCAGUAAAUAUUUGUCAAAGGAAUGAAGAGUUCUAUUCUCCUAAGAGGGUUAAAACUCCUCCUUUCUCACAAAUUUGCUUGUGCCACUACCAUUUUUUAAG
rnacentral:lncRNA from 1 species